rnacentral:lncRNA from 1 species
UAUGCAGUUUCAUUUAUUUUUACAUCUCACUCUACCAUCUGUGAUGAGUGAUUUCUUUUUUGGACAGGACUUCAUCACAGAAAUAUUCCAUGGGAGGCCAUCUCACUGUAGAUUAAAAUGGAGUGAAAAAUGCAAGUGUCAUAUCUCCAUGCCGAAUCCAUUAGCUCUUAUUUCCAGCCCUUUCUCACCUCAUCUCAACUCCAGCGCGCCUUUGAGGGGCUGGGAAGGCCAGCGUGUUGGGGGAGGCGCCUGGGCCUCUGGGACUGGGCCUGGCUGCGUCAAGGUGGGGCUGACAUGAAGUCCCCUUCAUCUGUCCGGGGUGGCCCGUCCUUCUGGGA